UACGGAGGGUGCAAGCGUUAUCCGGAUUCACUGGGUUUAAAGGGUGUGUAGGCGGUUAGGCAAGUCCGUGGUGAAAUCCUGCAGCUUAACUGCAGAACUGCCAUGGAUACUAUUUAUCUUGAAUGUCGUGGAGGUUAGCAGAAUAUGUCAUGUAGCGGUGAAAUGCUUAGAGAUGACAUAGAAUACCCAUUGCGAAGGCAGCUAACUACGCGAAUAUUGACGCUGAUGCACGAAAGCGUGGGGAUCAAACAGG
rnacentral:rRNA from 1 species